rnacentral:tRNA from 1 species
GCCCGCAUAGCUCAGUUGGCAGAGCAGCUGAUUUGUAAUCAGCAGGUCGUAGGUUCGAAUCCUAUCGGUGGCUCCA